rnacentral:rRNA from 1 species
UACGUAGGGUGCGAGCGUUGUCCGGAAUUAUUGGGCGUAAAGAGCUCGUAGGCGGUCUGUCGCGUCGGAUGUGAAAAUCCAGGGCUCAACCCUGGACCUGCAUUCGAUACGGGCAGACUAGAGUUCGGCAGGGGAGACUGGAAUUCCUGGUGUAGCGGUGAAAUGCGCAGAUAUCAGGAGGAACACCGGUGGCGAAGGCGGGUCUCUGGGCCGAUACUGACGCUGAGGAGCGAAAGCGUGGGGAGCGAACAGG